UACGGGAAGGCAGCAGUGGGGAAUAUUGCACAAUGGGCGCAAGCCUGAUGCAGCCAUGCCGCGUGUAUGAAGAAGGCCUUCGGGUUGUAAAGUACUUUCAGUCGUGAGGAAGGUGUUAAGGUUAAUAACCUUAGCAAUUGACGUUAGCGACAGAAGAAGCACCGGCUAACUCCGUGCCAGCAGCCGCGGUAAUACGGAGGGUGCGAGCGUUAAUCGGAAUUACUGGGCGUAAAGGGCACGCAGGCGGUUAAUUAAGUUGGAUGUGAAAUCCCCGGGCUUAACCUGGGAAUGGCAUUCAAGACUGGUUAGCUAGAGUCUUGUAGAGGGGGUAGAAUUCCAUGUGUAGCGGUGAAAUGCGUAGAGAUGUGGAGGAAUACCGGUGGCGAAAGGCGGCCCCUGGACAAAGACUGACGCUCAUGUGCGAAAGCGUGGGGAGCAAACAGGAUUAGAU
rnacentral:rRNA from 1 species